GGGGAUAUAGCUCAGCUGGGAGAGCGCGUGAAUGGCAUUCACGAGGUCAGGGGUUCGAUCCCCCUUAUCUCCACCC
rnacentral:tRNA from 1 species